CAUAGGUUAAUGAGGCGAACCGGGGGAACUGAAACAUCUAAGUACCCCGAGGAAAAGAAAUCAACCGAGAUUCCCCCAGUAGCGGCGAGCGAACGGGGAGCAGCCCAGAGCCUGAAUCAGUGUGUGUGUUAGUGGAAGCGUCUGGAAAGGCGCGCGAUACAGGGUGACAGCCCCGUACACAAAAAUGCACAUACUGUGAGCUCGAUGAGUAGGGCGGGACACGUGGUAUCCUGUCUGAAUAUGGGGGGACC
rnacentral:rRNA from 1 species